rnacentral:lncRNA from 1 species
AAAAAAAUAAAAAAUAAAAUAAAAUUUAAGAUGAAUCGGUUAUAAAUAAGUAACCUAUUUUUUAUUAUAAACCGGUUAUAAAUUGGUUCCGAACCAAUUAUAAACCAUAUCCAAAUUAGUUUUGCAAAAUAACCAAUUUUUCAUUAAAAUGGUUUUGGAUAUAAACCAAAACCAUAAAUAUGGUUUGGUGUGGUGUGGUUUUUAAACCAUGCACACCCCUAC